UUUUAGUAUAAAUAUCUUUGGUUAAGGUGCUCUGCCUGUGCUUCAGUGCCCAGAUCCCCACAGCUGGAGCUGGCUGGCUAAGAUUGCGCAUGUGCAGCCCACUAAACCACAGGGCAGUUUCAUCAAGCCUGGGCCAUCUUCAUAACCAUGACAUCUUCAAUACGCACUCUCAGUCUUUGUCUGUAGUCGGUGCUCAUUAAAUCAGAUCACAAAACACAAUUUGUUUAUAUAGCGCCUUUCAUGCAAGACUGCAAUACAAAUUCGUUCACAUAGUAAAGAUAAAAAGAUCCAUAAAAAGCUGCAGCAACACUGAAAACAUAAAAACGAUAAAACAACAUAGAUUUAAAAAAAAAAAAAACAGAUCGGCCCCUUUUGUGCACCCCUGCACUAGAGUAACGCCACCUCAGUCAUUUUUACCUCUGCUGGAGGACUUUCCCCGGAAAGAAACGCCUGCCCCCACGUUAGCCUGUGUGAGCGCGGGUACCAUCAGCCAGGCCAGGAGUGACGGGAUCCGUUUCCGUGGAGACCAUUUCCACCCUCUCCUGAGUGAGGAGAUCCGUUUCAGUGGAGCCAUGUGUUCGCCUGUGAGGACUGAACAUGUGGCUGUGACAUCACUUCUCUGAGAUACAACAAGGAGGAAGUGGAUAACUUACCAAAGAAUCCCAAAACACAGGUGAUUAUUUGGGAACUCCACACGGAACAAGCACAUGACAUCACAGACCCAACGCAUGACAUCACAACCAGGAUGGCAACAUCAGGACGACCAGGCUGAGACUACAGGAACCAAGCUGAGAACAUCAUAGCAGGCUCACAUGGGGACAAGCUUUCUUUCCGCCCUUUUCUCUUCCUUUCUUUUUCCUGUCCUUUAAUAAAAGGACUGGAAAUGUAAUAAAACUACAAAGUCUAAA